rnacentral:lncRNA from 1 species
UUAUAUGACUAAAUGUUUUACUGAACAGUUAUUUUGUAUUGUAAUUGAUGUUUCAAACGUUCUAAUAUUUGCAACAAAAUGCGGGUUUAACUAUAAUAUAUCAUGGUCAUAGCAUUUUUUUUAUGAUAAGUAAGUUCCAAAAAGAAAUCACGAAAAUUAACGUAUAUGAGAAUCAAACAGAGUUCCUUGGAUUUUUUGUGUAGCACUUUGUAGCAGAAUUUAAAUUACAGAAUUCUAAAACAAUACCUGGGUAGUUAAACUUUAUCUAUCAUUUUGGGAAAAAAGGAAAAAUGGCAAAUAAUGAACUAGCAAAUUUUUAUAGAACUUUUCAUCAACAGGUUUUCGUCGAAUUCUUACCAAUACAAUGAAACAUAUAGAUAUGCAGCUUGGUUUCACCCAAACAAACGGCAAAAUCAAAAGCUAAUUCUUUAUAAUAUAUUUGUACAUAUAAAGAAUUAUAAUUUUAAAAAUAUAGAGAACCAUUAAUGUAUUGCUAAUUUGUUUUUCACUUUUUUGCAACAAAGUAUAUAACUGUUUAGAAUUGUUAUAAAAGAGACAGAACCAUUAAUCCAGUAAAAACAGCCAGCACCAUGCAGGGAUUGGGUAGUUGAAAUUAACGUGUAUCGUCC